rnacentral:rRNA from 1 species
AGAGUUUGAUCCUGUGCUCAGAGAUAAACGCUGGCGGCGUGCCUAAUGCAUGCAACGUCUGAACGGGCGCUCUUUCGGUGAGACGUGACCGUGGCUGGACGGGUGAGGAGCACGUAGCUGACCUGUCCCUGGUGUGGGUGGAUAUCCUCGGUGAAACCGAGAUGUAAUACCGCAUGUGCUUCAUUGGAGGGAUCUGAUGAAGGAAAGCCGAGAGGCGUACCAGGAGGGGGCUGCGUCCGAUUAGCUAGUUGUGGGUGUAAUGGCUUACCAAGGCGAUGAUCGGUAGCUGGUCUGAGAGGACGAUCAGUCCACACGGGGACUGAGACACGGCCCCGACUCCUACGGGAGGCAGCAGCAAGGAAUUUUCCACAAUGGGCGCAAGCCUGAUGGAGCAACGCCUGCGUGGGGGAUGACGCACUUCGGUGUGUAAACCCCUUUUCGAGGGGACGAAAGGCAAUGACGGUACCCUCGGAAUAAGGAUCGGCUAACUACUUGCCACAGCCGCGGUAAGACGUAGAUCCGAGCGUUGUCCGGAGUUACUGGGCGUAAAGCGCGCGCAGUGACACGCGCAUCGGCGGUAAAGCCCCCCGCUCAACGGGGGAGGGGUCCGUCGAUAUGGCCGUGUCUGGAGGCAAGGGAGAGGCCACUUGGAAUUCCGGGUGUUUUGGUGAAAUGCGUAAGAUCCGGAGGAACACCAUGGCAAGGCGGUGGCGUUGACCUGACCUGACGCUUAGGCGCAAAGGCUCUGGGGAGCGAAACGGGAUUAUAUACCCCGGUUAGUCCACCGCAGUAAACGAUGGNUACUUAGGUUGUUGCGGGAGUUGACCCCUGCCGUGCCGGCGCUAACGCAGUAAGUACCCCGCCUGGGGAGUACGGCCGCAAGGCUAAAACUCAAAGGAAUUGACGGGGGCCCGCACAAGCAGCGGAGCGUGUGGUUUAAUUCGACGCAACGCGCAACACCUUACCACGGUUUGACAUCCCUGGAACCUGCCUGAAAGGGCGGGGUGCCUUCGGGAGCCAGGAGACAGGUGCUGCAUGGCUGUCGUCAGCUCGUGUCGUGAGAUGUUGGGUUAAGUCCCGCAACGAGCGCAACCCCCGUGGCUAGUUACGAGGUGUGUCUAGCCAGACUGCCGGAACCAAACCGGAGGAAGGUGGGGAUGAUGUCAAGUCAGCAUGGCCCUUACACCGUGGGCGACACACACGCUACAAUGGCCGGGACAAUGGGCAGCCAAGCGGUAACGCGGAGCCAAUCCCACAAACCCGGUCUCAGUUCAGAUCGUGGGCUGCAACUCGCCCACGUGAAGGCGGAGUUGCUAGUAACCGCCGGUCAGCAUUACGGCGGUGAAUAUGUUCCCGGGCCUUGUACACACCGCCCGUCACGUCACGGGAGCCGGUAACACCUGAAGUCGGUGGGUGAACCUUCGGGACACAGCCGCCGAGGGUGGGAUUGGUGACUGGGACGAAGUCGUACAAGGUAGCCGUAGCGGAAGCUGCGGCUGGAUCACCUCCUU